rnacentral:rRNA from 1 species
CAACAGGGAUUGCCCCAGUAGCGGCGAGUGAAGCGGCAAGAGCUCAGAUUUGAAAUCGUGUUUCGGCACGAGUUGUAGAGUGUAGGCGGGAGUCUCUGUGGAGCGCGGUGUCCAAGUCCCUUGGAACAGGGUGCCUGAGAGGGUGAGAGCCCCGUAGGGUGCUGCGCGAAGCUUUUGAGGCCCUGCUGACGAGUCGAGUUGUUUGGGAAUGCAGCUCCAAGCGGGUGGUAAAUUCCAUCUAAGGCUAAAUAUUGGCGAGAGACCGAUAGCGAACAAGUACUGUGAAGGAAAGAUGAAAAGCACUUUGAAAAGAGAGUGAAACAGCACGUGAAAUUGUUGAAAGGGAAGGGUAUUGGGCUCGACAUGGGGGGUGCGCACCGCUGUCUCUUGUAGGCGGCGCUCUGGGCGCCCUCUGGGCCAGCAUCGGUUCCUGCUGCGGGAGAAGGGGCUCCGGAAAGUGGCUCUUCGGAGUGUUAUAGCCGGGGCCAGAUGCCGCGUGUGGGGACCGAGGACUGCGGCUUCUGUCUCGGAUGCUGGCAUAACGGCGCAAUACCGCCCGUCUUG